rnacentral:rRNA from 1 species
GAUGAACGCUGGCUUCGUGCCUAAUACAUGCAAGUCGAGCGAACGGACGAGAAGCUUGCUUUUCUGAUGUUAGCGGCGGACGGGUGAGUAACACGUGGAUAACCUACCUAUAAGACUGGGAUAACUUCGGGAAACCGGAGCUAAUACCGGAUAAUAUUUUGAACCGCAUGGUUCAAAAGUGAAAGACGGUCUUGCUGUCACUUAUAGAUGGAUCCGCGCUGCAUUAGCUAGUUGGUAAGGUAACGGCUUACCAAGGCAACGAUGCAUAGCCGACCUGAGAGGGUGAUCGGCCACACUGGAACUGAGACACGGUCCAGACUCCUACGGGAGGCAGCAGUAGGGAAUCUUCCGCAAUGGGCGAAAGCCUGACGGAGCAACGCCGCGUGAGUGAUGAAGGUCUUCGGAUCGUAAAACUCUGUUAUUAGGGAAGAACAUAUGUGUAAGUAACUGUGCACAUCUUGACGGUACCUAAUCAGAAAGCCACGGCUAACUACGUGCCAGCAGCCGCGGUAAUACGUAGGUGGCAAGCGUUAUCCGGAAUUAUUGGGCGUAAAGCGCGCGUAGGCGGUUUUUUAAGUCUGAUGUGAAAGCCCACGGCUCAACCGUGGAGGGUCAUUGGAAACUGGAAAACUUGAGUGCAGAAGAGGAAAGUGGAAUUCCAUGUGUAGCGGUGAAAUGCGCAGAGAUGUGGAGGAACACCAGUGGCGAAGGCGACUUUCUGGUCUGUAACUGACGCUGAUGUGCGAAAGCGUGGGGAUCAAACAGGAUUAGAUACCCUGGUAGUCCACGCCGUAAACGAUGAGUGCUAAGUGUUAGGGGGUUUCCGCCCCUUAGUGCUGCAGCUAACGCAUUAAGCACUCCGCCUGGGGAGUACGACCGCAAGGUUGAAACUCAAAGGAAUUGACGGGGGCCCGCACAAGCGGUGGAGCAUGUGGUUUAAUUCGAAGCAACGCGAAGAACCUUACCAAAUCUUGACAUCCUUUGACAACUCUAGAGAUAGAGCCUUCCCCUUCGGGGGACAAAGUGACAGGUGGUGCAUGGUUGUCGUCAGCUCGUGUCGUGAGAUGUUGGGUUAAGUCCCGCAACGAGCGCAACCCUUAAGCUUAGUUGCCAUCAUUAAGUUGGGCACUCUAAGUUGACUGCCGGUGACAAACCGGAGGAAGGUGGGGAUGACGUCAAAUCAUCAUGCCCCUUAUGAUUUGGGCUACACACGUGCUACAAUGGACAAUACAAAGGGCAGCGAAACCGCGAGGUCAAGCAAAUCCCAUAAAGUUGUUCUCAGUUCGGAUUGUAGUCUGCAACUCGACUACAUGAAGCUGGAAUCGCUAGUAAUCGUAGAUCAGCAUGCUACGGUGAAUACGUUCCCGGGUCU